GACGAACGCUGGCGGCGUGCUUAACACAUGCAAGUCGAGCGGAAAGGCCACUUCGGUGGUACUCGAGCGGCGAAUGGGUGAGUAACACGUGAGUAAUCUGCCCUUCACUCUGGGAUAGCCACCGGAAACGGUGAUUAAUACCGGAUAUGACACGCGACCGCAUGGUCUGUGUGUGGAAACUUUUUUGGGUGGGGGAUGUGCUCGCGGCCUAUCAGCUUGUUGGUGGGGUAAUGGCCUACCAAGGCUUCGACGGGUAGCCGGCCUGAGAGGGUGACCGGCCACACUGGGACUGAGACACGGCCCAGACUCCUACGGGAGGCAGCAGUGGGGAAUAUUGGACAAUGGGCGGAAGCCUGAUCCAGCAACGCCGCGUGAGGGAUGACGGCCUUCGGGUUGUAAACCUCUUUUAGCAAGGAAGAAGCGAGAGUGACGGUACUUGCAGAAAAAGCGCCGGCUAACUACGUGCCAGCAGCCGCGGUAAGAC
rnacentral:rRNA from 1 species